rnacentral:rRNA from 1 species
CUUAGAGGUAAACGAGUGGAGCCGAAGGUGUUGGAUUGAAUUCAGUUGAUGGGAUUUUGUAUGGGAAGUAGUUGUGUUUUUAAGGGAGCAGUUACUUUUCUAUUAUAGAGUUUCAUUGAUGCAUUUUCUUUUCAACUAUACUGCGACCGAUAGUGUUGGUUUUCUGUCGUAAUUGUGAAGCUACCCGAUUUUUCGGAAUUGGAUUUAUAGCACUUUUGCAUGGUUAAUCAAUGUAUCGUUUAAUGCGGUUGGCUAAUUUUAACGGGUCUUGAUGUGGAGUGUUUUUGAAUAGACUAUAAAUAGAUUAUUUUUAAGCAUUUUAUGUCUUGGUUUGUUAAAGGGUCAAUCUAUAGUCUGCAGUCAAUAUGUAGGUUACCUACUUGUCCCGUCUUGAAACACGGACCAAGGAGUUUUAUAUGAUCGCGAGUCAAAGGGCCAUACGAAACCCCAGGGCGAAAUUAAUGUAAAGAUUCACUUUCGUGAAUUGCAAUGUGACCUUGCCGUAAAAAGCUUGAGCAACAUUGACCCGUAUAAAGAUGUUCGCAUCUGUACGGAGUUUGAGCGAUCAUGUAGAGACCCGAAAGAUGGUGAACUAUGCUUGUGCAGGUUGAAGUCAGAGGAAACCCUGAUGGAAGACCGAAGCGGUUCUGACGUGCAAAUCGAUCGUCGGACAUGAGUAUAGGGGCGAAAGACUAAUCGAACCAUCUAGUAGCUGGUUCCCUCCGAAGUUUCCCUCAGGAUAGCUGGCAUUUGUUGUCGUAGUUUUACCUGGUAAAGCGAAUGAUUAGAAGUAUUGGGGACGAAAUGUUCUCAACUUAUUCUCAAACUUUAAAUGGGUUCGAAGUGCAUCUCUCUUUAUUUGGAGAUGUACAUUGAAUACGAAUGCCUAGUGGGCCAUUUUUGGUAAGCAGAACUGGCGAUGUGGGAUGAACCAAACAUUUGGUUAAGGUGCCUAACAUCACGCUCAUGAGAACCCACAAAAGGUGUUGGUUGAUUAAGACAGCAGGACGGUGGACAUGGAAGUCGUCAUCCGCUAAGGAAUGUGUAACAACUCACCUGCCGAAUCAACCAGCCCUGAAA